GCUGUCUCUGAGCUACCCUGUAUUUGCACAGAAGAUAGAAGAGCCAAUCUUAAAGUCUUUUUUAAGAAAACUUUUUAUCUUUGCAAAAAUUAAGAUGAUGGAAAUAGGUAAAACAGAGAUGGAAAAUGUACUGCGGCUGACCUGGCCUGACUUCAUUCCCCUGUUAAAGAGCAUAUACUACUCUUCCCUUACUAUGUUGAAGUCUGAACAGCAAGAGUAACUCUGUUAACACUAAACUCGCAAAUGGAGUGAUUUACUCAAGUGAAAAAAGAUUCUACUGGUUUUGUUACAAAUUAAAUGACUCUAGACAGAUACCUUAAACCAGGUACAUUUUCUUUGUGUCUUUGUUUUUUUCUCUCAAGAUCCUGUUUAUCAUUUUGAAGAUACUUAGGACAUAGAAAUUGCACUAGAAUAUGCUAACAGCUUCUCCCCCAAAAUUGCAGCUGAGUCCUGGAGUCAGGG
rnacentral:lncRNA from 1 species